AGCAUCUCCUGAUCAGUGUUAGCAGAGCACUGCGAAGCGCACUGUGCAGAGCUCUCAUGACUGCACGAAGGAAUUUAUGCAUGCAACUCUCAAACGGCUUUGAUAUAUAACCCCGCAGAAUCAGUGUCAGCGGUGGAUGUUGGUGUAUGGCAGCAGAGGCUGAACCUUCCCACCAAUAUUCCAUUACAUUUUAUUGCUGUACAACAGAUGGCAACAGAGCAGUGGUCUGACAAAAUGGAGUCUGACAUCGAAGGGCGAAUGAAGAAAAGUAGUUCAACACCAAAACCAAAAUCUCAAAUUCAGAAGAACAACUCCAUAUAAGGAAUGGGAUUCUGCAUCAGAUUUUACAACACAGGACACCUGCAGUUACGAGAGUAGCACUUUCAUUUCUGUAAAAGCUUCCAUAGGAGAGAUUCAAAAUCCUUCAACAAAUUAAGGCAUGCAAAACACUCCAGAGGUGAGGAGAUAUCACUGCAUGCACUUUAUAAAUAGGAUGAAGGUACGCAGGGAUUUAUUAAUUUUCCCUGGAUCAGG
ensembl:lncRNA